rnacentral:rRNA from 1 species
CGGAGGGUGCAAGCGUUGCUCGGAAUUAUUGGGCGUAAAGGGUAGGUAGGUGGUCUGAUUUGUCUGGGGUGAAAGCCUUGAGCUUAACUCAAGAAGUGCCUCGGAAACGGUCAGACUAGAGUACUGGAGAGGGUCGUGGAAUUCCCGGUGUAGCGGUGAAAUGCGUAGAGAUCGGGAGGAACACCAGAGGCGAAGGCGGCGACCUGGACAGUCACUGACACUCAACUACGAAAGCGUGGGGAGCAAACAGGAUUAGAUACCCUGGUAGUCCACGCCGUAAACGAUGGGUACUAAACUUGGUGGGUCUUGACCCCCGCCGAGUUGGCGCUAACGCAAUAAGUACCCCGCCUGGGAAGUACGGUCGCAAGACUA